GUGUGACCUAGUAAGACGGGCCUUAUGGCGUGUUCAAGCAGUAGAAUAUCACUCCUUGCAGCAAGGAUUACUUUUACAAAGACUGCUGGCCAGUCUUUUGCCAGGAACCAACAAUGUUAUUUCUGCAGUGGAGCACCAGACCAUGGGAAAACAACACCAUUAAGAAAAACCACAAAAUUAAAGACAAUGCUG